rnacentral:lncRNA from 1 species
GGGAAUAUUUUUUUUGUCGGGAAAUAUCCGUACGACGACACAAUACAACGGAAUUAUUGUCGGAUUGAGAAAACGACAAAAAUAUUUUAUUAAAAAUAACAGCGGAAGUUUUACCGUUAAAACUGUUGAACUACUCGGUAGUAAAAGUACAGUAAUACGCGUGGUUGCAUAUUAGCACACGGUAUUGAUUAUUAAUGCUUACGUGAUAAGUCACUCAGUUUUGUUUUAUUAGUAUUAUUAAUUUAAUAAAACAGAAAAGCUUUUUAUAUAAAACAGAAUACUUUUAUAAAGUUAUUCGUUUUAUUAGACUAAUAGUAAAAAAAAUUUAUAUAAAACAGAAUACUUUUAUAAGAUUAUUCGUUUUAUUAGACAAUAAUUAGAUUAUAUUAUAUUUUAUUAUGCAUAGUGUUGCAUAGUGUUUUGCAUAGUAAAAUCUUUUUAUAUAAAACAAAAUACUUUUAUAAAGUUAUUCGUUUUAUUAGAUUAUAAAUAGAAUAUGUUAUAUUUUAUUUAAAAGAUUUUGCUUUAAUUAUGGACCGUCCGAUUAAAGUAAAUCAAUCUGAACCGUUCAUGAGUUAGUUACUAUGCAGUCCAUUCUUCUAUAAAUAGAAGCUCAUUCCUUCAUUAUUUUCUUACGAAUUCACUGAAACUCUAGAGAGAGAAAUUAUAGAGAGAAAGAAGAAAAGUAUUCUGCUACUUCACUAUUCUGAUAUCAAGUUUCUUUUACGGUAAGAGAUAUUAUUUGUUGUACCCGUAAGGGGUAUUAUUUCUUUUGUAUUCAUGAAGAGAACUUCUGUUAUUCCAUUUCUUAUUAUUCUGUUGGAAUAACCUGUAUACGCGGGCUAC